AGGCGCGUAGCUCAGCUGGUUAGAGCACUACCUUGACAUGGUAGGGGUCGUGUGUUCGAGUCACAUCGUGCCUACCA
rnacentral:tRNA from 4 species